CAACCAUCUGUCCUGCACAUAUGUUAUCAACCCCCCAAAGCUGAUCAAACUUAGAUUUGAAACGUUCAACACAGAGAGUAGUUAUGACUAUGUGAAGGUGUACGAUGUCUCCAACAACCUGCUGGUAUCUCUGUCUGGUUCACACAAUGGCUACACAGUCCCGUCGUCCACCUACUACCGUGUGGAAUUUACAACAGAUAGGUCGAUAGGAUCUUCCGGCUUCAGAGCUGUAUGGAGAUCUGCUCCUACGAUAUCUGGUUUACCUUCCACAUACCGAGUGUACAAGUCAAGUAGAUUGCGGCUAGACUGUAGUUCCUACACACG